GUCGGUUAUGGGGACAUGUGUCCCAUCACCUUGGGGGGCAAAAUGGUGGGCACACUCUGUGCCAUCGCGGGAGUGCUGACCAUUGCUUUGCCCGUCCCUGUCAUUGUUUCCAAC
rfam:Takifugu rubripes chromosome, Chr_3